rnacentral:rRNA from 1 species
CCUACGGGAGGCAGCAGUGAGGAAUAUUGGUCAAUGGACGCAAGUCUGAACCAGCCAUGCAGCGUGCAGGAUGACGGCUCUAUGGGUUGUAAACUUCUUUUGUACGAGGAUAAUAUGUUAUACGUGUAUGUGCUUGUAAGUAUCAUACGAAUAAGGAUCGGCUAACUCCGUGCCAGCAGCCGCGGUAAUACGGAGGAUCCAAGCGUUAUCCGGAUUUAUUGGGUUUAAAGGGUGCGUAGGUGGUUUUAUAAGUUAGUUGUGAAAGUUUGGGGCUCAACCGUGAAAUUACCGUUAAUACUGGAAGACUAGAGUACAGAAGCGGUAGGCGGAAUGCAUGGUGUAGCGGUGAAAUGCGUAGAGAUCACAAAGAACUCCGAUUGCGAAGGCAGCUCACUAAACUACGACUGACACUGAGGCACGAAAGUGUGGGUAGCAAACAGGAUUAGAUACCCGGGUAGUC